rnacentral:rRNA from 1 species
UACGGAGGGUGCAAGCGUUGUUCGGAAUUAUUGGGCGUAAAGGGCAAGUAGGUGGUCUUAUAAGUCUACUGUGAAAUCCCUGGGCUUAACCCAGGAAGUGCGGUGGAUACUGUAAGACUAGAGUGCUGGAGGGGUGCGUGGAAUUCCCGGUGUAGCGGUGAAAUGCGUAGAUAUCGAGAGGAACACCUGCGGCGAAGGCGGGUUGCUGGGCUGACACUGACGCUGAUGCGCGAAAGCCAGGGGAGCGAACGGG